UGGUGGGGGGGAGGAAAGUCCGGGCACCCCAAGAUUUAAUCUUGGUCCUGACAGUGGAUAACGUCCACCGUUCGUGAGAAUAGGGAAAGUGCCACAGAGACAAUGUUUCUUUGUUUUAGGGGUAAUCUCCUAAAAUGGGGUAAAAGUGAAAAGUGAGGGCCUAAGAAUCCUCUCUCCGAUGGGAGACCAAUCGGAGUGGUAAACCCUGUCUGGUGCAAGAGCAAACCCCCCACCACUUUUUUUAAAAAGUGGUGGGGGGUAAAAGUAGCUCGCUUGAGUUCAACGGCAACGUUGGACCUAGAUAGAUGACUAUCACCCCGCAGUACUGCGGGGGACAGAACCCGGCUUAUUACUUG
rnacentral:RNase_P_RNA from 1 species